CCUACGGGAGGCAGCAGUGAGGAAUAUUGGUCAAUGGUCGGGAGACUGAACCAGCCAAGCCGCGUGAGGGAGGAAGGUACAGAGUAUCGUAAACCUCUUUUGUCAGGGAACAAAGGCGGGGACGUGUCCCCGGCUGAGUGUACCUGACGAACAAGCAUCGGCUAACUCCGUGCCAGCAGCCGCGGUAAUACGGAGGAUGCGAGCGUUAUCCGGAUUUAUUGGGUUUAAAGGGUGCGCAGGCGGUCUGUUAAGUCAGCGGUCAAAGCCCGGGGCUCAACCCCGGCCCGCCGUUGAAACUGGCAGUCUCGAGUUGGAGAGAAGUAGGCGGAAUGCGCGGUGUAGCGGUGAAAUGCAUAGAUAUCGCGCAGAACUCCGAUUGCGAAGGCAGCAUGCCGGCUCCACACUGACGCUGAGGCACGAAAGCGUGGGUAUCGAACAGGAUUAGAUACCCGAGUAGUC
rnacentral:rRNA from 1 species